rnacentral:rRNA from 1 species
GGCCAGCUGCGUGGACGCGGCGCGGGUAAUAGGGCGGGUGCGGGGUUUGGCUGGAAUGACUGGGCGGAACGUGGUCGUAGGUGGUUUGGCGGGUGUGUCGUGAAAUCGGACGGGGUAAAGGUGGGCGUGCGUGCGAUACGGGCAGACUAGAGUACGGCAGGGGAGACUGGAAUUCCUGGUGUAGCGGUGGAAUGCGGAGAUAUCAGGAGGAACACCGGUGGCGAAGGCGGGUCUCUGGGCAGUAACUGACGCUGAGGAGCGAAAGCGUGGGGAGCGAACAGGAUUAGAUACCCGGGUAUC